UACGUAGGGUGCAAGCGUUGUCCGGAAUUAUUGGGCGUAAAGAGCUCGUAGGCGGUUUGUUACGUCUGCUGUGAAAACCCGUGGCUCAACCAUGUGGUCUGCAGUCGAUACGGGCAGGCUAGAAUUCGGUAGGGGAGACUGGAAUUCCUGGUGUAGCGGUGAAAUGCGCAGAUAUCAGGAGGAACACCGGUGGCGAAGGCGGGUCUCUGGGCCGAUAUUGACGCUGAGGAGCGAAAGCGUGGGGAGCGAACAGG
rnacentral:rRNA from 1 species